GUGCUCACUUCGACAGCACAUAUAUUAAAAUUGGAACAAUACAGGUAAGAUUAGCAUGGGCCCUGAGCAAGGAUGACAUGCAAAUUUGUGAAGUGCUCCAUACUUUA